rnacentral:lncRNA from 1 species
AUGUCGCCUUCACUUUCUUUCCGCCAAGAAAUUUCUACCAGGAUUCACGGAGGAGGAGAGUGUCAUGUGAACAUGCCGGAGAGAGGACCUGGGCCUUCGCCUUACAGCCAGGCCCUGAGCUCAGCACCCACUGGGAGGACCCAGCUGCCGCUCAGCUGCCAGGGUGCAGUGUGGGGAAAGCAGUCAAGCCCGCGCGGUGAUUGUGAGGGGCUCUGCUGGAAUUUGGCAGCGCGGAGGCUUGGAGCGCAGCCCCAUGCUGGCUCCUAUUCAGCGGCCGGUUCCCCUCCAGCUCUGGAAGUUUCACUCAGCCGUGCACUCAAUGGCUCCACAAAGCUGAUUACAAGCUCCAGCGCAUUCCUGAAGGAGCCAAAGCGACGCAGGUGCAAACGAGCCGAGGGAGCCCCUUAUCCCGGUGACAGAAUGGGACAAGCUGGGAAAGGCUCGGACCACACAAAUCCAGGCUCACCAGGCAGCAGAAAGCCUGCUUGGGAACCGGGGGUCAUUAUCCGACCUAUUUUUGUCUGAUAACUAAUUUGAGUUAAUGCGAUCUGUAUGGAAAGCUAACAGCGGAUAAUUGUCUAUUUUCUCGCCAACAAUCUCCGUCACAGUCA